GGUAACAGGUCUUCUGAUGCUGACGAGUGGCGAACGGGUGAGUAAUACAUCGGAACGUGCCCGAUCGUGGGGGAUAACGAGGCGAAAGCUUUGCUAAUACCGCAUACGAUCUACGGAUGAAAGCGGGGGAUCUUCGGACCUCGCGCGGACGGAGCGGCCGAUGGCAGAUUAGGUAGUUGGUGGGAUAAAAGCUUACCAAGCCGACGAUCUGUAGCUGGUCUGAGAGGAUGAUCAGCCACACUGGGACUGAGACACGGCCCAGACUCCUACGGGAGGCAGCAGUGGGGAAUUUUGGACAAUGGGGGAAACCCUGAUCCAGCCAUGCCGCGUGCAGGAUGAAGGCCUUCGGGUUGUAAACUGCUUUUGUACGGAACGAAAAGGUCUCUUCUAAUAAAGGGGGCCCAUGACGGUACCGUAAGAAUAAGCACCGGCUAACUACGUGCCAGCAGCCGCGGUAAUACGUAGGGUGCAAGCGUUAAUCGGAAUUACUGGGCGUAAAGCGUGCGCAGGCGGUUAUGUAAGAC
rnacentral:rRNA from 1 species